GUAUCUGAUAAAAAAUUAAUUAGAAAUGCCAUCACUUGUUAAACAUUACACAUGAUGUAACAGUAUAAUGAUAACAAUCGGUUACAUUGUAUAUCCCUAAUAAGAAAACUAUCACGAAAAACAUCACAUGAUAAAAAGAUUGAUUGAUUGUAUAUCGUUUUACGUCCUAGCUCGACAAUUCUACACUCUUAUGGAAUCGUCACUAUUGCUGGUGAAGGACUGUAAAUUUUAGGCCUAUGUUCGGCGCUCACGGCCUUUGAGCAGGGAGGGCUCUUUCUCGUGCACGGGGCCUCGGUUUUUGCGGUCUUGUCGGAAGGACCGCCCCAUUUAAUCGCCUCUUACAUGUACGACAAGCAAGGGGGUACUGGAAUACCUUUUCUAACCCGAAAAAGAGAGAAAUAAAGUCUUCCACGUCUGGUGCCAGACAUAGCGCUAUCCGACUUCAGUAAUUUGCGAUAUCUGACGUGCUGAUUGAGGACGCCGCUCAUUAGAAAUAUAUUGUUCACGCAUAACAUACCGGGAAAUGUCUAAAAAGUACAAACACGGCCUCAUGACAUCGUAGACAUAUGGCACUGACGAGUAAAAUACGAGUGCAGCUGCUGCAGAAUGAAAGCAGACUAAUAUAAAGUCCCACCUGAAUACAGAAGUUUACGUCGAUGCUCUUUCUGUUCAGCAGUAUACAUGGUAUAGUGACGAUGUUAAAAGCACAGAUUCAAUGAGACGUUUACUUGAAAAACACACCACAUAUUGAACUUAAAAAGAACGCAUCACAUUGUGUACCUGCGGCUAUGGAAAAAAGGGGAAAAUAUAACUCGUGUGUUACUUUGCAGGGAGAGAUCCAGAAAAUUUCCAAAAGGAGUUUAGGGGUUUGGAUGCGACCCAAGUUUAUAUUUUUUCUGUCCAAAAGGGGUCCCAAUAUGGCAAAAGUUGUGAAACAGAAGCAACCGACAUUACCUCCUCUCUAGAUCCGCCACUGCAUUGAAAAAGAUUAUUGCUCUAAUUUCUUACAGUUCCUAGAUACAUGUACAUGUACAUUUAACGCAGUCCGGAUAACAUCAGGCCCUGGGGCCAUAAAUAAAACUGACGAGCUCACAUGAUCUUAUUCUCACCUUUUCAUUAUUUGUUUUUUGGUUUUUUUGUGGUUUUUUUUUUUAUAAAAGUGAGGAUUUUAGAUCAACAGUGUAAGUUUCAUGCCCCUAAAACCCAUAAAUCGUAAUAAUAGAAAAUCCAAACGGAAAAAAAAAAUCCUCCCCGGCGGGGAAUUGAACCCCGGUCUCCCGCGUGACAGGCGGGGAUACUGACCACUAUACUACCGAGGACUUCGAAAUAGAGGAGGUUUAAACUAGUACUGUUGAGUACUAAAUCACGCAUGUCACAGGUAUUGAAUUAAAUCUCAAAUAACGAAACGAAACGUUUCAAAACUCCAACUUUCAACACGAUUGAUUACGGAAGGGAGUAUAAAUUAUAGAAGAUCCUUACAGAUAAAUAUAUCAGAAGUUUGUCCCAGUCUACGCCUUAGAUCCGCCAUGUACGUUGGCCCCUAUACUAACUUCCCAUUUUGGGAUCUGAAGUAGACAAAAAGGAUUAAAAGAAAGUAUUAAAUAAUUAGCGCCAUUGCAUGAUUGACUCUAUUUAUGUAUGCCAAAAAAUAAAGAAGAAGAAGAAAACCCCACAAAAAUCACGCACCAUUUCUCAAGGUUACUUUUUAAUGACGUUUGGCCAACUACCGCAUCUUCAUCUUGGUCUACUCUUACAAAAAAUUCAAAGUUAUGAAUGAAUGGGGUUUUAAUCGAUUCCUUUACAAUUUUUUGGUCCGAAUGUUUUGUUUUUAGUGUGUUUUUUUUUUUUUUUUUUUUUUUUUGUUGUUGUUGUGGUUUUUGUUUUGUAAAGAAAUCCUCAUCCGAAUCAAAUUAUUAGCAGUCAAUGCCUUAAUUUACGCUGAAUGUUAAAUUGUAAAAAAAAAAAAAAAAUAAUAAUAAUAAUAAUAAUAAAAAUAAAUAAAUAAAUAAAAAUAAUUCAUAUAAACAACCGAAUUUAAAAAGAAACCAAAACAAAUCAACAAAAAAUUUGUAAUGAUUUUGAAAUAACUUGUAAAAUCCUUAGAAUUUCUCCACAGACUUUAACAUAAUUCUUUUAGCAUAUCCUGAAUAUCGACAUUCUGCAUUCAUGAAUUAGUAAGUCUCAAGGUAACUAAAGGACAGAACUGUAUUAUAAAUAUAUUAUAUUUGUAAUACAGGGGCGCGUUUUACAAAAGAACUUACAACCAAGUUUACAUACUGGAAUUUUCUAGUUUAUUGUAAGAUCAUUCACUCCAAAAUGCAAAAAAAAAAAAAAAAAAAAAAAAUAA